UUGUAUUUCAAAACCAACAAUCACUUAAAGCAAAUGCGUUGAUACUCAACACAUUUGAGGAUCUAGAAGCUCCAAUCCUCUCCCAAAUUCGUCUCCACUUCCCCAAACUCAUUAUCUACACUCUUGGCCCUCUUCACCACCACCUCAAUACCACAAAAAAAACAUCAUCAUCUUCAUCGUCAUUCUUCAAAGCGGAUAGAACAUGCAUGACAUGGCUCGAAUCUCAACCGUUGAAAUCAGUUGUAUAUGUUAACUUUGGUAGCAUUGCAUCAAUGAAAGGAGAAGAAAUCAUUGAGAUUUGGCAUGGUUUAUUGAAUAGUAAAAACCAAUUUUUGUGGGUGAUUAGGCCAAACAUGGUACAAGAAAAAGGACUAUUAAAGGAGCUUGAGGAAGGGACUAGUAAGGAACAAGGGUUGAUUGUGGGAUGGGUUCCACAAGAGGAAGUAUUGUCUCAUAAGGCAAUUGGUGCUUUUUUGACACAUAGUGGAUGGAAUUCUACUUUAGAGAGUUUGGUUUGUGGUGUGCCUAUGAUUUGCUGGCCUUAUUUUUCAGAUCAACAAAUUAAUAGUAGGUUUGUGAGUGAGGUUUGGAAAAUUGGGUUGGAUAUGAAAGAUGUUUGUGAUAGGAAGGUUGUGGAGAAUAUGGUGAAUGAUGUUAUGGUGAAUAGGAAGGAAGAGUUUCUAAAAUCAGCUAUGGAAAUUGCUAAGUUGGCAUGCAAGAGUGUGAGUUGUGAUGGUUCUUCCUACAACAACUUCCGAGAUUUGAUUGAAUAUAUAAGGUCCACUAGCCCAUAAAAUAUGGGAUUUUCCUUAUAAUUCUCCUACUAAAAACUUCUCAUAUUUUUAUAAGUGUGUAACAAGAUCACUAAAAGAAGUAUGUAUUUGAAGUGUAAAAUUUGAUGAUGGUUUUAUAUCACUAAUAAAUAACCAAAAAAAUUUGUGGUCUUUUCAAAUACAUACUUCUCAAAUUAUUGAGGGAACAACACUAAUUCAUUAUGUAUUGAUGAUGAGAUUCCAUUAAUAAUAUGGGGAUGGAGAAAGUAGUCUCAUGAAAUAAUUUGAUUAUUGUCUUUUCUUUUGUAUAUCUUUAUCAUCAUUCGUCAACAUUUCAUUCGUGUACAAUUUGUUUGUUUAGGUAAAUUGGGGUAGUCCAGAUCUAAUUAAAUUUCAUGGUAUAUAUUGUAGUUUUGUAGCUUAGAAAUGUCAUAUUGCUUUUUUCAUUUCGGGAUCUCACUUAGAGAUUAUUGGGUCAAUUAUAUUUUUAAUCCCUCUAAAUUAAAGUUUAUUUUUAGUUCAUUUAAAAAUUUCCUUUAUACUUUGAAGUUUGAAUCCUCUAAAUAUUUGUUAAUUUUUAGACUAUCUAACUCAUAAGUCAUAACCUUAAUUUUGAGCUCAAGUUUAACUAUUUAGCGCAUAAACUAAAUUUAACAAAUUAAUUAUCAAAUUGAAUCUAAAAUUAUUUUCGAAUGAGUUCGAUUCUUGAUUUCUUGUCCUAGCCCUGUCUAUAUAUAGUAUAUACCAUGAUGUUUAUGUUUGCAUAAAGACACCAGCAUAUGUCAGUCAUUUCUAGGACUACUAGUGCACGACUCAUCCUAUACACCUAAACACCGCUCAAAAUUAAUCAUCACAAAUUAGAUGCAAUAGCAUUAGCAUGUUAUAUAUAGAGCAACUAAGAUAUUUGAAAAAUGGAAAAACCAAUGGAAAAAUCUUCACCACAUGUGCUAAUCUUUCCUUGUCCAGCACAAGGCCAUGUAAACUCAAUGCUAAAACUAGCUGAACUUCUUGCAAUUCAAAAUCUCCACAUAACUUUCCUCAACACAAAAUACAUCCACAAUCGACUCAUUCAAUUCAAUGAUGAUAUUCAAGCUCUUUUAGAAUUGAUUCAUUUUCGUACUAUUAGUCCUUGUUGCUUUUGGCCUUAUUUUGUGCUCUUUUCUUUUUUGCCGUUUUAUCUUUUGAUUGUAAUUUAUUGCCGUUCACGCUCUAUUUGGUUGGUUCAAUUUAUUUGUUUUGCACAUCAAGGUUAUUUAUUGGUGUGACUUUAACGAAUUCACAACAUAAAAAAAAUGUUUUCCUUUUUUUCGACACUAUUUGGUUUUGUGUCCGAUAAAUGUAUAAUCACCGUAUAACACGUGCGCGGGAAAUUCAAACAAGUGUUCAAAAACAAUUUAUUUUUUCUUUGCUUCAACACACCAUUGAACAUGUGUGGUGACAAUGUUGAUCAAUGAUGUGGUUUUGGAAAAGUAUCAAUGAGGGAGUUAAAGGCAUUAAAUUUUAUUACAAUAUUUUUAACUUAUUUAAUAUAGAUGGAUAAAUAAAGGUCUAAAAAUACAAUCAUAUCUCAUUUUUGAAUUUUUUUUAACUAAAUAAAUUAAUCAAUUAAGAUCUUUUAUAAAUAAUAUUAUUAUUUUAUUUAAUUAUAAUAAAUAUGUGUCGGUGUCCUAUGUUUUUUAAAUUAUCAGUGUUGACGUGUCGGUUUUGGUGUCGUGUCAGUGCGUGUGUCAGAGUCCUACAUAUUAGUAAUGGUAAUAUAGUUAGCCUGUUAGUUAGUUUCGAUUAGUCACUUGGUUAGUUAAUUAGUUAGUUAGUUGGUUAUUAUUUCUGUUAUUUGACAGUUUUCUUCUGUUAGUUUCUGUUGCAUUCUCCUAUAUAUAUAACAGACUAGGCCUAGUGCAGAAUACUUUUACAUAUCUACCUUUCUAAUCACAUUAAGUUUAGUUUUCUACUUUUCUUGCUAACAAAGAUUUCCAUGGAAGUUACCAUGGAUGAAGAAGAAAUAGGGCUAAAGAUAGAAGAUAUUAUGUGUACGUUUAAGAACAUGGAUGGAGGACCUGGAAAGUUGAUAGUUGGAGUCAGCAAGGCUAUGGAACAAAUCAAUGAUCUCAUUGAUAAGCACAAAAAGAAUGAGGAAGCACCACCAUCUCUCAGUCAAGAGACUCUUUUGACUUUGCUCACCAUUGUUGGUAGAGAGGUCGACCUUCACACCAACAAUGGUGAUGUUUACACUGGAAUCCUUUACGUUGUCUUUUUCCUGAAUUAUUCUAUUGUUUAUAUUUACUCUUAUCUAAGUAUUUUUUUCUUUAUUAUUAGGUAUACAAUUAAAGCAAUGCAAACUAGGAAAUGGGAUCAUAGUAGAUACGCAAGAUAUUGCAUUAAAUCAAAUUUCUAAAAUUGUUGCAAAGGGUGUUACUGUUCUUGUGGAGAAUCUUGGCAGGAGUUUCUUGAUACUGGAUGAGCAACCAAACUACCAGAUUGAUAUUCAAAGGAUAUCUAGUGGAGAAGAUACUAGGAGUUCGUUAAUUAUCAAGAACAUUCCUAAGAGGUAAGAAAAUGAUGAGUUAUUAGGUAUAUUCAAAAGAUAUAUAGCAGUGUAGAAACAUUUUGAAAAUUUUUAUAGUUUCUUGAUGAUUUUUGCCUAUUGUGAAUUUUUUUAAGGUAUACUUCAGAAAUGCUUAUAUCUGAAAUCAAUGACACUCAACCAGGGACUUUUGAUUUCAUCUACCUUCCACUUGUCAAAAAAGUAUGAUAUGUAUAUAUUAUUAGUAAUGUUAGAUUUUUGUUUUGUACCUCUUUCUAGGAUGAUUUAUUUAGUAAUAUUUUUCUUUUUCUUGCAGGAUAGAAGGAAAAAUGUAGGUUAUGCUUUCAUCAAUAUGCUCUCACCUUCAAAUAUCAUUAGCUUUUAUCAGGUUUUUUAUUUUCUAAAUUUUCUUGCAAUUUGUUUCAGUUCAGAGUUUUUUCUUGUCUUUUAUCUGUUUGUAUUAAAAUUUUCAUUAGCAUAGCUUGUCUGGUAAAUAAUUAUCUAUAAACUAUGUGCAUAGUUUGUCAUUUAUCUGAUAAAUUUCUUAUAGAGAAGUAUUUAUAUGCUUAAAUACAAUGAAUUAUGUAUAUGCUUAACUGAAACACGUACAUGAAAUUUUAUGCAGGCAUUUAAUGGCAAGAAUUGGGAUAAGUUACAAAACGAAAAAGUUGCUUCCAUCGCAUAUGCUCGAGUUCAAGGAAAGGACGAACUCAUAAUGGAAUAUGUGAUGAAAAAUGAAGACUCAGAUACUGUGGACAUGCAAAUUCGCCCGACAGUAUUUUUUUCAGAGAGCAAAUACCAAGAGGUAUUAUUUUAUUCAUAUCAUAUGCUUACUGCUUUCAAUAAUUUUUGUAUUGGAUAAAUUUGAGCAUUGCUUUAUUUUGUUUUGCUUAUAUGAUUCAUAUAUAUAUAUAUAUAUGCUUAUACCACUCUGUCUGUGACCGUCUAGGAAAGCGUUCGAUACAGGAACUUGAAUGUUCGCAUACAUCAACCAGAAAUGAUGUAGCUAUGAAUUUCUGAUGAUAUAUGGUAUGUCGAGAGCUUGAAGGAAAAUUCAGACAUUGAUGUAUUGAGAAUAUUGUUGUCCUGCUUGUAGUUUUUUUUUCUUCAUCUCCUUGUAUUUCGAGUUUUAACCCCAAAAAUUCACUCUAAAUCUUCCAUUAGAUAUACUAUAAAGAAAUAAAAUGCAGACUGGUGUGUUCCAUAAAUAUCUCAAUGUUUUGUAAAAUUCAAAUGUGUUGUGUUUUUUAACUCUGCAACUCAGAACAGGGUUUCCAUAGCAACUGCCAUGCAAAGAGUUUUAUGCCAUAAAUUCAAACGUUUUGGGAAUUGAUGUUUAUAAAAAAAAAAUUGAAAAGGAGGGCAAAGUGGCACUAUACAAUGGGGAGAGUGUUAAGAUAGUCGCUCUUCUCCUUCUUAAAGUGAUCUUGUACUCCUCCUUAUGAAUAGGUAAUUUGUCUUUGUGUAUAAAUUUUUGAGGUAUUGCAAACUAAAAGGAGGAGUACAAAAAUGUAUACACCUAGUUUGCAAUACCUCAAAACCUUGUGAAGCUUAAAACCCCCAUUGUACAACUCAUCCUAUCCUUGGUACCUAGCAUAUAAAGUAAGAAAAUGAGAUAAUACAAACAUUCGUAGUAAAUUAAGCUAGCAGAUUCAAUAUUGAAUUAAAAAAUGACAUCACCAUUCUACACAAAGAUAUAAAUGUAUAAAAGGAAAUCCACCACAAUGCUUGUAAAACUUGUCUUCCUCUUUCCCUUUCGUUAAUGUAUUGAUAGUUUAUGAAUUAGUGCUUCUUUUUACUCAUAAUCUGAAAACCAAUAGCAAUAUGUUGCAGAAUUUGAACAUGAAAUUGAUCAGCAAAUAAAUAUGUUGAUUUUCGUAAUACCAACUCACAAACAAACAUUGUUUUAUCACUUUAGUCCUCUAUUACCAUAUCAAAAAUUUAACUUCAAACUUAACUAAAAAAUUAGAGAUUUUGAGAAAACUGUACAAAAAACUUAUAUAAAAACUGAACUUGAUGCUUAAGCAGAAAUUUGAGAGAGAUAAGAAGGCAAACAAAGGAUUGCUGCUGUGCAAAUUUCACUAUGCAUUUAAAAUUCCACUGACUUGUAUUAUGUUUGUCAGUCCAUGUAAAUUAAUAGCUGUCUCCAAUUUAUUUUUUAAUCACAUACGAUCUGUGUAUAAUGAUCAUCUAUAACAGAACUGAACUGAACCCUAAUGGACAAGAUUAAUAAUCUAUAAUACUGGAAACUACAUGAAUAAAGAAACUAUUAUAUGAUAGCUAGAUGUUAGAAUAUAUGAAAUGUCAUAAUAUCUUUGAUAUAUAUUAUGUUGGAGUAUCUAAGAUUAGGAGUCUUGAAUCUUGAAUAUCCAUAUAAAUAAGGGAUGGUGUUUAGUCUAUUGCAUCAAGUUACUAUCAAAUUAAUAAAAAUCAUAUUUCACCAGAAUUAUAUUUCUUCUUAUUCUUCACCUUUUAUCUAAAACUCAUAACUUCAACAAUACAAAUAAAAACAAAAUAUAUACAACACUUAAUAGAUUAUAUUCUCCCCAAAUUGAAGUUGCUUUCCAACAUUGCCCCUCUAGCUAGGGAAUACAAAUCAUAUUCCAAGCUUGUUAUAAAUGAACCGAGUUUGAGGACCUCAAAGAGACUUCAUGAGAAUACAAGUUGGUCACUAGAGUUGAAAAACUCGCAAUUUCCUUAGAGAGAGAACCUUUUUCUAGUAAAUUAUAGUAACCAUCUCUUGAUUGGAAAAUAAUUUACAAAGUUUCUUCAGGAAUGUCUGAGCACAAUCCAUUAUAUAUACAAAAUUUACAAUUUGAUUAUUGGAAACUAUACAACUAAGAAAACUAAAUACUAUAGAUGCUUUCCCAACAACCAUUGACAAGAUAAAGGACUUAACAAAUAUUCACAAUAUGCAACAAAAUAUUAGCAGAAGUGAAAUAGUGUAUAAAGCCAGUAAUUACCCCGAAGAGAUGGUGGUGCACCACCACAUAGCUGAUAAAAUAUAUGAUAUGUCCUUUCCCCUUCAUUGCAUUGAACUGCUCUAGACUGUCCAGAUACCAAACAACAUUAGUAAUUCAACACAUAGAUACAAACAAUUAACAUAAUAAAAUAACCUUUAGAGGGAUGUCAGGCCAGGAGUAUCAUAUGAAUUCAACACAUAAUAAAAUAACUGCUCUGUGGUAUAUUGUCACUGUUCUAAGAAUGAAUGAUUACCUUUUCAAGCAAAACUGUUGAUGUCAGGCCAGGAGCAUCAUAUGAAUUCAACACAUAGAUACAAACAAUUAACAUCAUAAUCAGUUGGAAACUUUUAGAGGGAGAAAAGGCACAUUGGUUUAAAGUUUCAACCAUUAAACAGCAGAAAACCUACAUGUUUGAAUAUUAGCACCAGAAAUUUUUCCAGUUUCACUAAAGUUAAUCUCAAUGAGCUUUCCCUGUCACACAUUCAAUUCAAUCAAAUUAUGAGAACUUCCAGUAUUGAAGAAUAUAUAAUAACAAUUUUAACAUAGAUAGAGAGAGCAUCAAAACAUGAACUCCACAAGAAUAGCCAUUUCAAGAUUUAAUAAUCAGUCGGGAAUCUUACAAAACGACUUGAGUUGUCAUUUCUCAAAGUUUUUGCAUUACCAAAGGCUUCUAGUAUUGGAUUAGUCUUCAGUAUCUCAUACUCUAUUCCACUUCCACCUCCAAGAGCAGCCAAGUACUGCAUUGCUAUCUUUGCUGUCACAGUCUUCCCAGCUCCACUCUCACCACUGAAUAUGUAGAUGAUAAAUAUUAUUAUAUGCCCCAAUUCAUUCAUACACAAUACACAACUAAGGGGAAAACAGGGAUAAGAACAACCAAGAACAGGUUUCACAAUAGUGACAAAAUCUGCAUACAGUAUGAAGAAGCCUUUAUAUCCAUUGUCAACCAGGUAAGUAAGAAUGAGGUUAUCCUAAGUUAUGUUUGUUUCUAUCCAAUAAUUACGGUAAUGCUCCUCCGUUCUAAGAAAGUUAAAACAACACUGACAAUAUAUGGAAAAUAAAAACUGAAGAACUAAAGCUAACAGCAGACCACAAAGAGUGUAUCUGUAUAUUUAAAAAAAAUUGAAACUCAGUAAUCAGUAUGCAUCUAGAAAUUUGAAAGUCAAAAGAAAAUAAAAGAGAACGUCAUAAAUAUCAAAUUCAAUUUAUGAACAAUUACUAACUGUACAAGGUUUUAUUGUUUUCUUUGGGGUUAUGGGAGGUAUAAUAUGGAAACUUCUAGUAAAAUUAAAACAUAAAAAAUGGAAUUAAAACAAUUAACAACUCAAGUGUUACUGGUUACUCAUUAACCACUCUUUCAACAUCAAAUGAUUGAGCAGUUAAUUGCUUGCUGCUAAUUGGAAAUAUUUUCAAGAAAAGAAAUGUAAACAACCUAAGAUCUGACAGGUCUCAAAAAUUAUAUUGUUUGAUUAAUUCUACAGAAAACAAGUAUAGACAAGAAUAAAAUCAAUACUUGUGACAAAUUAUAGUUUGCAAUUUGAAUAAAAGGAGUAAAAGUGUAAACAUGAAACCACUAUUAAUACAGUAUUAAAGAGGCUGCAAUUAAAAUAAAUUAUUAAUUAAAACAUCUUAUAGAAAUUAAAUUUAGUGGAAUCUGCCAUGACUAGCUACUCAUUAAAACUGAAUUCAACAAAAAAUAACUGACCUUAUAAUUAUAGAUUGAUUUACUUCAUCUGGAAAACAAAGGAAGAAUUAGAGUAAGUUCUUGCUUAAAACAAAUGGAAGAGGUCUUAACUCUAAAGCUCUAACGCUGCAUCCAUAUAUGUUCAUAUGAGGAAAUAAAAAGUUACCUUGUUCUCGGAUGACUCUGUCUGUAAUUGCAUAUACAUGAGGGCUUUCGGUUGCUUUACGCUUGUAGGCUUCAAUAUAAUUGUUACCAUACAGAGGAACUUUCUUGAAAGGAUUUAUAGCAACCAAAACGGGCCCCACUUUUGUCUGAAUUGCACAAAGUUACACAGAUAAACGUUAAGAGUUAUGAUCAGAUAAAAUAUUGUGAAAGAAUUUGAAGAGACAUAAAAGCUUACAUAAAUCAUAUUUUGAUUGUAUCUAUAUUGUAGAUCGUAUAAAAUUGACGGUUCGUUCAAAUAACUGAGUUGCAUGAGGUCAUCCACUCCGUCAAGAAUGUCAGGAUUUGCUGAUACCAAACUGUCUUGUUUCACUUUUAAAACCUAUAAUAAGUACCAGAGAAGGUGAGGCUAUGCAGUUAACAAAACUAAAAAUGAAGAACACCACUCUCAACUCUUGAGAAAUAUCAUAACUUAUUUAUCUUACCUUCCCAUCAGGCAAUGAAAUAACUGAUUCUGUUCCAGAAGUUGUUAUUAUCUUUGCCAGCUCCCAAUUCCCAUUUGGAAGUUGAAACCAAGACUAAAGUUUCUGAAAUAGUUAACACCAGAAGUAAGGGAAAGACGUAAAAAAUUCCAAAUUUAAGGCAAUCAAAUAAUGAUUGAUAACUCAAACAGGCUCGUCAAAUUAUUUUCUGGAAUUGCUAACAUGAUAUUACCUGUUUUGAAUCUUUUACAAAAUUAUAAUUGAAGUAAUAGUAUAAUUGCUUACAAUUCCAUGGCAUUCCUCAGUAAAACAAAUUCACACACAUAAUAAAAUCAUUAAUUAAGAAUAUAGAAAUAACAAAGGCAUAGAUGCUUUUGAUUGGGAAUAUAAUAGUGACAGGCAACAAACAGUAGCAAAUCUAUGAAUUGACAUAAGUUACUCUUUAUCAAGACAAAACACUCUCAGAAGUCCGAAGAAAGGAUAGACAGAACUGACUCAUAAAACCAAAAAUAUAAACGAAAAUGAGUAAUCAAUCAACUUCAAUUUUCAAACUGCCACAUAAGGAUAUGUCAAAAACAAUACUGGACUAAAGUGAUAGCAGAAGACAAAUAAGACCAUGGCCAUUCCCAAUCUUAAUUGCUUCCCAACUUAAUGUAUAUCAAAGAAAUUGAAGAAAAAAAAUUCAUAUCCCUGGACUAAGCCUCCUCCAGGAAAGUUGAAAUAUAACAUAACUUGGAUGCAUGUUUUCAAGCACAGGUUUCUGAUUUCAAGAUGCAUCUGGGGGAUUCAUCAAAGCCUACACCACUUAGUUUGCUCCAAAGGUGUCUGUUAAAGAAGGCGAGGUCAUGGGUCUUUCGCUCACCAUCCAGUGGGACCGUGACUUGGGAUACAAAAUGUCAGUUUUAGCUGGACUUCCAAGUAGUAGUUGAGGCUAUCUAUCACGACAAGGAAAGCAUAUCAAAGUUUGGGUCGACUGUACAAUUUUAGAUCCCUCAUUGGUGUUAGUUCAAACUUCAAGGUUCCAUCUUGUAUUUCGCACUUUGUCAUAAAUGAAAUGACAUGAUUUGUUAGAGUUAAAAAAAAAAACUCAUUCUUUUUGUCAAAAAAAAAAACUCAAUAUUUAGUCAAAAAAAAAACUCAACCUUUUAAGGCACUGCUCCAGAACAGUUGAACUUUAUGCAGUAAAAACCUGAUAUUUUCCUUGUUUCUGGUUAAAUUCCAGAAAUUUUUACAGCUGGAUUAUAAGUUGUCUGAUAGAAGUCUAGAUCAACCUCAUGCCAACUUUCAUUUGUUUUGACCUACCUUUAUCUAAAAUGCAGUAUUUUCAAUUUCAACUGACUCCUAUCAUGUUCGAAACCUGACACUCAACCAAAAUUGGCAACUACAAAAUAUGAACUUUCAAGUUUCAACCAAUAUGAUUCUGAUGCAUUCUUAUAAUCUUAUAGAUGUUUCUUAAUCUUAGACACAAAGUUCCUCUGUAUUAACAAUCUCUUUCAAUCAAACUAACAUCAAAUUUCAAGAAGAUGCAAAGUUCCUCUACUACUGGUAGCUAACAUUCAUGAAUUCUGGAUCAGUUUUCAUGUACACGCACUAUAGGACAUACACUGGUAAGUCAUGAGUGUUUUGAAGCACUGGGGUUCAUUUUUGAGAAAUCAUUUAAAAAUUAAUGACAUUAUAAUUAAGUUACAUAAACACAAACAAAAUUUAAAAUUUGAGCUUUAAAUUUCCAAUUAAAAAAUUUGAAAAAAUGCAUUCAAUUCUUGAUCAACCCAUCCAGGAAAAUCAGCACAUAUAUCCAACUGAAUAACUAUAUUGCAUUCAACCUUAAAAACUUUCCAAACCCAGGAUAAGAUUAAUUGAAUCUGAAGCUAAAAGUACAUUAUUUGAAACACAAGGUGUUGUAUCACUCCACCUCGAUUCCCUAGAGGACACUGAAAUUGUUUGGAAGGGGAGAGGAACAGAUUCCAAGUUUUCAUCACCAAUAGAUGCCCUGUCUUCGAAUAAUACAGCUUUUCCACUAUACGCUAGAUCUUCAUUGAAAAGACUCGUGCCACCUGCACGGUCUUGAGAUUCUUCAGAAACAUCUCCGAUCAGAGCAUCAUUUUCAGGACUACUUGAUCCAACCAAACCACUACUUCUCAAUUUAGCAUCUCCCUGGCUUUCCAUUAGAUCACGGGUCAGAUUACCAUUAACCUUGAAACCAGGAGGCAAAGAUUUGAUAGGAUGAAGAACAGGAAGAGUCUUGGAUGCCAAAGACAUUUUUCCUUAAAUAACUCUGCCACAACAAAACAACCAAAAAUGAUUACCAACAAAACAUAGAUAUUUUAAAAAAAACAACAAAGAGAUUCCAUUUUCCACCAAAAAGGCCUAUCAAACUUUUUAACAAGGUCCCAUCAACUGAAUUAAUCAGUUAAACAUAAUGGAGGGGACCAUAGAUCCAUAGCUCAAGAUACAGACUCUACUAUCUAGUGGUGUGGUUCCUUCCUUAAAAGUUUCCAAUGACAAGUGCAACUCAAACUUCAUCCUUAUUCCUAAGCUGUAAAAUCUCAAUAAGACAAAGCCUCAUUCACUCUCACUAAACCUAAUCUUACUAAACCUAAUCUUAGGGACCAAUCCAAAACAACAGCACCUUCAAGUUUGUUCUUUUUUUUUUUUUUUUNNNNNNNNNNNNNNNNNNNNNNNNNNNNNNNNNNNNNNNNNNNNNNNNNNNNNNUCAAGUCUUUUUUUAAAAAAAAAAAAAAACUCAGUAUCCGGCCCAAGUACCGACUAAUGCUACAAUCCCACCUUCAAAUUAACCAAGCCAUACCGAUCUAAUCUAACAUGAAACUAAACCUAAACAUCAUUCAAAGAUAAAAUCACCAAAACACUUCAAACCAAAAGUAAAACAACAACACAAACAGAUCCUCCAAUUUCACUAAUCAUCUAUUACUGAAAAAGUAAAAUAAAAAUAAAUAAAUAAAUCAAAAUGUGUUACUUUACUUCAAUCAUCCACAAAAAACAAAAACUUUAAAUCAAAUUCAGUUCAGAUAUCUUACUUAAAUAUAUCAAUAUUCUUAUUUUCUACUGAUUUUCCACUGAUCAACAAAAAACCUAAAUUCUCCGAUUGAAAUUGAACUCGAUCGAGGAAGUUCAGAGAAUGAUCAAAUAAAUACUCGAUAAGUGAAGCAAAUGAUGAAUCAGUGAUGAGUGAUGAAACUGUGAAAACAACAUAUGAAGCCAAACAGAGCAAAAGAAGAAGAUGAUGGUGAUGUACCAGAGAGAAUGAAGAAGAAGAAGAAGAAGAAGAAGAAGAAGACGACGACGACAAUGGUAAAGAAAGCAUUUUUGGUUUCCGAGAAAGUUGAAAUUCAGAGAAAAAAAAAGCAGCUUUUGUUUUCUUUUCUUUUUUAAAUAGUGUUCAUAAUCAUGAUAAAGUUUGUUAUAAAUUAGUUAUAGAAAGUAACGUAGGAAAUUAGUUUAAACUUGUUUAACUUAGGGAUUACACGAAAACUCAAAUCCGAUAGACAUAUCUGAAUUCAAACCCAAGUUAAUGGGCGAAACCUGAGUUGACUAAGUUUGAGUUUGGGUUCAGGUGACACCCGAAUAUAUGGAUGUGGGUUUGAAUAGUGUCAAACUCACACCCGAAACUCAUUCACCCACCCAUUUAUAUAUUAAAUUACCUAUUUACCCUAUGUAUUUUGCUUUUUUUUUUGCAUUGUAUUUUGCUCCCUUUUAAGCUUUUGAAUGUUGUAGUAGUGCAUGUUGUAGUGAUGAUAACAUUUGAUGUAUUGUUUAGUAAAAACAAAAAAAAACUAUUUUGAAAUUUAUAAAUUAUAUUAUCAACUACAUUUUGCAUUUUAUCAAAUAUAGUUCGGGUCGGGUUUUAGCAUAUAAUCAAUUAUGCGUGUUAUUGUUAUGGGUUUCGGGUUUGGUUGAAAAAACCCGAACCCAACGGGUGUGGGUGGCACUCGAAUAUAUGAGUGUGGGUUUGGGUAGUAUCAAACCCGCACCCAUGGGCACCCAUUGCCAUCCCUAGUUUAACUUAACCAGCAUAGGACUCGUUUUGCCUAAUUUUUUUUAGAGCUUAUGCAAUAUAAAUUAGGUUUUAUGCUAUUUUAUAAGUUCAUACUAGUGAAAAUUAUAAUUUUAUAAGCUAUUUUAUCAUAAACUACCUUCACAAACUUAUAAUAAUAUAUAAAAAUUGCAUAAGCUAUUUGCAUAAGCUCUAAAAAAGAGCUAAAAAGUCAGGCCAGACGGACUCAUAUAUAGUGUACCACAAGUGGUAGAUACUUGAAUCCCUUAACCAUUUGAUCCUGGGUACGAUCCCCUGCUGCCGGUGCGUAUCGAGAAUAGCUUUGGUUUAAAAAAAAAAACUUGUUUAACUUAUAUAGAAUUUGUUCAACAAAGGAAAAGUUUAGAGGAUAUAUCAUAUAUGUGGUUAAAAAAAUAUAUACUAGUUAACUUAAAUUUUAAGAUUUAUAGGAUCAUGCAUGGUGUACUUGUCCUUAAAUAAGUACCUCGGGCAAGGUAUGAAGAUGAAUAAUAAACUCAUUUUAUCUAUACUUAUUUCUAUUUUUCAUUUUUAUAUAAUGUUUUAUUGUGUUUCCUCUAUUAUCUAUUUAUCUUCAGCUUCAUGAACAAUAUAGAUACAUAAAGUAUAGCAAAUGGGUGUCCACAAUAUUUAAUAAAAUUUAUUUAACUAAUCCUCAAUUUAUUAAAUUUAUUGUGCACUCAUUUGCUAAUUUGCUAAUUAAACCUUGACAUGCUACUUCUUUAUCAAACUUUUCUGCAAAAUAAAAAAGAAAAUGAAGUUAAUUUAGACAAAUGAAAAACAUGACAAAGUAUAUAAAGAUGAAGAUAGAAAUAAGACAGUUGAAUGACACACAUAUAUAUACAGGAAAAUAGGGGUUCAUUUUAUUUCUCCGCCUUCCAUUUCAUUUAAUCUAAUGGCCGUAAUUAGUUAUAAAUUCAUUCCACGUAAUUACUAUUUUUCUUUCUCAUUCCCUUGCUACCUGCCAACAAUAAGAAAAUAGGGGUUCUCUAUUUUAUUAUCAUUAAUUUAGGGUCAAUUUAUUUCAGAUUUUUUUUCAAAAAAAUCUAUUUUUUUAAAAAAAUAAUCAUUUUUUUAAUUUUAUUUGUGCUUGUUUCAGAUUUUUUCAAAAAUCAUUUUAGUAAAAAAAUCAUUUUUUCUUCAAAAUGAAAAGCUAUUUUCAUUAUCUUUCUUCAAAAUCUAUUUUUUUGAAAACCAUUUUCUGAAAAAAUAGAUUUUUGUAAUUGUAAACAAACGGAAAAUAGCUUGAGAUUUUCUUCAAGAAAAUCUAUUUUCUUGAAAAUGAUAAUUUUCUUGAAAAUAAUUUUUUUAAAAAAAAAAAAUCAUUUUUUUAAAAUCUCAAACAAACAGGCCCUUAAUCUUUCUUUUCGAAUAAUUAUCGUCGUUUCACUGCACCUCAAAUUGAUUCACAUUGCCUGCAGUGGCGGAACCAGGAAUUUUUUCUUGGGUGGGCCGUUAAAAAAAUUUAUAAUAUAUAAAUUAAAUAAAAAAAAUUAUAUUACGUAUAAAAAUUUAAGUCAUAAUAAGCAAUAAUUUGAUAAUUAAAAAAUUAAAUUACAUACCUGAAAAUAAUACACUGCGUAUGUCAAGUGACUUGAAAUCAUCAAUAAUUAACUUUGAACUAAUGCUUGCUUAAUUAAACAAUAAAAAAAAAUUAGAUUGAAAUUUAUUCAUUAAUAAAUAUAAGAUAAUAAUUAAAUUAUUAAAUUAUCAAUUUAAUUAAAUUGAAAAUAGUUGUGUUUUGUGUUUUUGGUAAAAAUAAAAAUUGUGAAUUGAUAUAUUAUAAGAAAAACAUUAAUCUCAAAAUUAUGUCUUUACAUAUUUAAGACAAUUAUUUACCCUCAAGGGUGUGUGUUAAAGUUGAUUUUUAAAAGAAAAAAAAGAAACAGAAAGCAAAACCAAACAGAAAGCAAAACCAAAAAAGGCAUAUGGUUCUUUUAUAAAAAAUAAAAAAAAAGAAGGCAUGGUUCAAACCAAUGACCUUCACCUCCAAUGCAUUAGGCGUUGAAACUUCUACCAGCUAGGCUAACACUACGCUUCUAUUCUUAUUUACCUUCAUAAAUAUAUAGUAAUAGAAAUAUGUAAUUUUAUGAUAAUACCAAGGGUAUAUUAGUAAUUUCCUAUUUUUUAGGGGAGGGUCGCGGCCCACCUCAGUCCUCCUCUAGUUCCGCCACCGAUUGCCUGCAAGGUUACAAUAUGGAUCACCUCACCUCUUCAUAAACUGACGUUUAUGGGUAUAAUAACAAUUAAAACCUUAGAACUAUACAUUAAUCCCAAAUACUGAUUUUUUUUUUUAUUUUUUAUUUUUUAUUUUUCAUAAAUUUCAUCAAAUGUUGAUUUUUUUAGACCAGACAACAAUCCAAAUGAUAGCUAUAUAUGGUUGUGCACUACGUCGACCGGUCAAUCUUUUAUAAAAUAUUCAACUUCUGGACUACAUAGAAAUAUUUACAAAUAUUCAACUUAUGUUAUAUCCAGUGUUAUAACUAUAAUUAAGUUAGAAUCCCAUCCACCGUUAUUCAAAUAACUAUCUUAUUAUGUGAUUUUCUUGUACCAUUGUUUGUGUUGAAGAAAAUGAAUGAUUGUAUUAUUGUGCUUAAUUAUAUGUUAAACUGAGAGUUUUAUUAAUUUGUUAUUGUUCGGGUUUAGCUAUACAAUUUUUUUAAAGCCAUAAUCUGAAUGUAUUCUAAAAGGUGCAUCAUAUUCUUACCAGCUAUGUUUCUAUGUAUUUCGUCAAAUACUUUUCUUAUAAAUUAAUUGUAGAGAUAUUAUGGUAUCAUUUUAUUGUUUCUCAUUCCUUCUGUUUCUUUAUUUUAGAUAUGUAAAACACUAGCUUACCUUCAUAACUGUGUUGAAGUGUCUUAUAGGAACAUAAAACCUCAAAAAUGUACUUAUAUGUUUGUUAACUUGUUUAUUUAAUGUCUUAGUCUUUUGGUUUCGGUAUGUGAUUAAUUUGUUUUAUAGUGGGGCUGUGGAUUUGGAUUCUCUAAAGUCACAAUUUCCUACAUUUAGGCAAAAUUUGAGGGUAUUUUAGACUUUACAACACACAUAAAUACAUUUAAAUAUGUCACAUUUUCUCUUUCUUAGUUAAAAUUUGCUUGAAUGUAGGUGAAUUUAAGAUUUUUGAAUGUAGAGAAUCCAAAUCCGUGGGGCUGUAGCUUUUGUUUUAGGAGAAGGUUAGACACAUGUUAAAAAGAUAAAUGUGGUAAAUAUUAAAUGUUAAGUUUGUAACGGAUUUGGAUUCUCUAAAAUUUUUUCCCUAAAUACACCUGCAUUCAAGUAAAAGUGAAGCAAGAGAGAGAAAAUAUUGCAUAUCUAGGUGUAUUUAUGUGUGUUGUAAAGACCAAAAUACCCCAGAGUUUUGUCUAAAUGUAGGAAAUUUAGGAAGCAAUGACUUUAGAGAAUCCAAAUCCGUAAAUUCAACUAUUUAAACAUUAAAUAUUUUGUAUCAUUAAAUGUUACUCCCUCCGGUCACAUAUAUAAGAAAAAAUAACCGUUUACACGGUAUUUAAGAAAUUUAGUUAAGUGCAGUUAAUUUUCUUGAUUUAGUGUAAAACAUUGUUAAGUUUACUAUAUUGCCCUUUUCAUUCUCCUUGGAAAUCACAUGCUUUUGUAAAAGUGAAAUAAGUGCAUAGAAAAAGGUAAAAUUAAAUAAGGGUAUAUAAGGAAUAGUAGUAUUAAUUAGUUUAAAAGUUGUUAACUUUUGCUUAUAUUAGUGACCAAAAUUUGAAGUGUUUUUUUUCUUAUAAAUGUGACCGGAGGGAGUAGUAUAUUUCUACUUUUAGAUAGUUUAACAUGUGCCCUUGGUAGUCUCUCAACACUAAAUUUUCCCCCUCACGCUAUCUUCCACAAUCCACCAUUAUUCUCCUCAACUUCUCCAACAUUUUCACGGUACAGUACACCACUACACCCCAUUCCUAGUAUCGCCCACACCACACCAAAUAAUCCAUAUGAACAAACUCUCAUUUUUUUUACCCAAACUAAUAAAUUUGACCACUAGAUUUAGACUGUGUGCUUGCUUUUUUACGUAUCUUAUAAAACUUUAUUAUUUUGAGAAUUGGUACCAUUUAUACUAAGAAUGAAGAACAAAUAAAUAAUGGGUAUAUAAGUAUUUGAUGCUUUGUAAAUUGUUGAACACUUAAAUUUUUAAUAGGGGUGUACAUGGAUUGGGCAAAUCCGGUCGACCCAGUCAAACCCACCCAAUCCAACCCAAAAAAAUGGAUCGGGUCGGGUUAGUGGGUGGAUAUGGAUUUUAAAAAUGGAAAACCCAUAAAGAAAAUCGGGUUUCGGGUAAAACCGGACUCAACCCAAAAAACCCACUGACCCACUAGUGCUAUGUAUUUUGAAAUAAUUUUUAUGAAAAUACUAAAGAUUUUGUCAUCUGAUAAUUAAAUAAUUUUAUAUUGAAAAUAAGUUAUACUAUUUUUUAUGAAAAUAAAAAGAUUGAAUAAUUUUUAUAAACAGAUAUGAUAAUUAAUCGCACUAUUCAUUGUUUAGUCAUUUGAUAUUAAAAAAAGUAAAAAAAAAAAAAAAUCAUUUGGAUAACACACUAUCCAAUCCGUAAAUUAGUGGAUUUACACAAAAAAUGAGUGAUUAUUUUUUAUAGUGAAAAAAAGUUACACUAUUUUUUAAGAAAAUAGAAUGGUUGAGUUAUUUUUAUGAAAAAAUAUAAUAAUUCGACAUUUAGAUAUUUAAUAUAAAAAAAUAGAAAAAUAAUUUGGGUAACCCACUACCCAACCCAAUCCAACCCGGAAUUUAGUGGAUUUACCCAACCUGGCCCAACGUUAUAACGGGUGGUUAUUUUACUAAACCCAACCCUAUGUGGUUCGGGUUUUGGUUUUGGCCAAACCCAACCCAAUCCGGCCCACGUACACCCCUAAUUUUUAAGCUUUAAAACCAUUAUAGGUGUGAUUAGAUCCCGAAAAAUAGGUGUAGAAAACUCACUAUGAUUAAAUAGCAUAGCUAUUUCCUUUAAUGUCUAGUUAUGUAUACUUUAGAUCUCAUUUACUUUGAAUUUUUGCUGAACCAAGAUGCUAGGCAAGUAUACCGGUACAUGUUUAAUUUGGUGGAUUUUAGGGUGAGGGCUCUAUCAAGUUCCUCACCGGUGUACCACUCAAUUUCACCGUUAGAUUAAAUCUGUCUACUUGAUCUAAUAUUUCAUCACCACAUCGGAUCCAAUUUUUUUUUCUCUCCCUUGGCAGUUCUCUUUCUCCAUUGCGUGCAGUUUUUGUUCUUUCGACCCUGUAAAAUUGGGAUUUUGUGCCUAUACAUGACCAAUUAAAUUGCUUUCGUAGGUAUUCAUAUUCAAUUGACAGAGUUUAUAAUGUUACUCCCAACUUACUACACAUCAAAGGAUUAUCAAUAAUGUUGAUCAUAUGGUUUUUUUAGUUGAAGGUUCAAUCAAAUUUUGUGAUCGAUGCAUUUACCUCAUGUGUUUGAUGCAAAAAUAAGUUUUCUCCAUUUUCAAACUAUCAUGGUAGAUUAUGUGCAGGGCAGGCGAUAGAGAGAUAGAACAAAAACUGCACGCAAGGGAGAAAGAGAACUGCCAAGGGAGAGAAAAAAAAAUUGGAUCCAGUAUGGCGAUUAAAUAUUAGAUCAAGUAGUCUAAUUUAAUCUAGGCUUAAAUGCAGUUUUGGCCCCUCAAGUUUCACAAUUGCUUGAUUUUGGCCCUCCAUAUUUCAAUNNNNNNNNNNNNNNNNNNNNNNNNNNNNNNNNNNNNNNNNNNNNNNNNNNNNNNNNNNNNNNNNNNNNNNNNNNNNNNNNNNNNNNNNNNNNNNNNNNNNNNNNNNNNNNNNNNNNNNNNNNNNNNNNNNNNNNNNNNNNNNNNNNNNNNNNNNNNNNNNNNNNNNNNNNNNNNNNNNNNNNNNNNNNNNNAAUUUACAUUGGUCACAAAAUAGAGUAACUUUUUUUUUUGAAGCAACAAACUAGAGUAACUAACAAAUGCAUCGUAUUUAGUUUUAAUUAGUUUGUUACCUAUUUUUAAUUAGUUUUUUGCUUUUACAUCGGGUACAUUGACCAUGUCUUGACAUUUUAUUUAUUUAUUUGAUUUCGUAGAGAAACUACAAGAACUAAAUGUGUUUAACGGGACUUACCGUCAGAGCCCUGCUUAAUGAGAUUAGGUUUAUUUGAGUUAUUGUUUUGUAUUUUUAUUUGUAAUUGGGUUGUGUUAGUGUGUAAUAACUAUAUACUUUUGGUUAUAUUUUCUCUGUUUUUGUAUAUGUGAUAUGGACUAUGUGGUUCUUUCGAUAGAUUGAUUCUAAUAUACUUUGAAAAAAUAUUUGGUGUUGAUGACAGUCAAUUAUUAGCGAUUUAGAAUACUAUUUUGAGUAGUUUUUAUAGUAAUUGAAGACCAACAACAAGUAAAAAUCAGGAAAAACGAAGUUACAAGACCAAGAAAUAAGAAAAAGUGGAAAAAGGCAAAAACGUCAAGAAAAUGAUGCAUUAUCGUGCCUACGAUGAAGCCACGAUGGAACAAGGCUUCCCACAUGGAAAGGCAGUUAAAAUAAAGAAAAUCUGAAGAAAAUCUUUCUCAUCGUGCCACAAUGACAAAUUCAUCGUGCCACGAUGAAGGCGGUCAAAUAAAAACAGAAAAUCUGGAGUAAAUUUUCAUCGUGGCCACGAUAGUGCAAAACACAUAACAUCGCGCCACGAUGGCCGUACGAUGGAGCACAUAAAAAGUUCAAAUCCAGCAAAAAAGCUAUAAAUAGAGCCUCCGCCCAAGAAACCCUGAGGCUUUAAGGUUUCUUUUAUUUUUCUGUUCUUGUCUUUUAUUUUCCUAGGUUAUGUGAAGUAGAUGAUCUCCCUUAUGAAUGCUUGAAACAUGUAAUCACGGUUCGAACAAGUUUAUAUUCAAUUGAUAUUCAAUUACUUCUAUUUGUCUUGCUUUAAUUAUUUGUUUUAAUAUUGAUCACAUUAGAACAAACUCAUAGGUUAUUAGUGGAUAUCGAAAAUUAAGGAUACGAAGCUUAUGGAAGAUAUCCAGUCCCUCGUACUACGAGCUAACCCUAAUCCAGAACCUCGGAUUAAGAAUUGCAUUUAAUUAAAUUCUGCAUGUCUAGGAGUAAUAUGCUAGAAUAAGUUCAUGUGACAUUUGUGAAACAAUUGAACUUACAUGCGAGGAUAUAUAUAUAAGCAAGAUAGGUGACUUGUAACCUAGGCACUAGACAUAAUUAAUAGAAAUAGGGAACUCAGUUCCAACCUUACUUUCAUAGAAAUUAAUCCGAGAAGGUCUUAUCCGAGAAGGUCUUUCCAGCACUUUAAUUUAUUGUUAUUUAUUUCAGCUGCAAACCUUUCAAAACAAACAAAACGAAUGUAAACUAUCUAAAUUCCUAAAAGACACUAGUAACUUUGACACAAACUUAUCACUUUAUUACUUUGUGCGAUUUUGUACAUUUGCGGAACCUCCGUCAUGUGUAAAUUAACAAGUUGUGUAUAGAAUUAUUUGAACUAUUCAACUAGUUCAAAUAUUUUGGGUAAAAAUGUCUUUUAAUAAAAGCAAAAAAAAAAUAUUUACAAAAAAAAAAUAAAAAAUCUCCUGCGGAAACAUGUUUCCCGAGGAAUUUAUUACAAGUAUUAUCUGCGAAAAGUUUUAUGCGGAAUUUUGGUUAUUUUGGGCAGCAAAUUUUGCAGGCAAAUUUCUUAUGGAUUUUUGGCAAAAUCCGCAAGAAAUUCCGCAUGAAAACAACAAAAUUCUGGUGGUGACCACUUGUGAUGUGUACAAAGUACAAACCUGUAAGGAAGAUGAUUAACUCUGUUGAAAAAAAAAAUUAAGAUGAUUAACUCGUUUUGCCAUCCCUAGAUGGGUGGGGUAGUUUAUGUGGUUUGGAAUUGCUCUGAGUUUUAUUUGGAGCAUCUCAAUAUUGGACUUACGUUUAAAAGUUCUGUGUAUUGUACUUACGUUUAAAAGGUGUGGAAUUAGGCAUGACAAUAAAACUCAUAUCCGUGAGUAUCCAUCCAAAUCAUACCCGCUUUGAUGGGGAAAACUUGUGUUGACUGAGUUUGAGUUCGGAUUUUCCACGAUUUCAAAAGAUGGGGUUGGGGCGGGUAAUUGAUACAUUGAUACCAUCCCGAACCCGUCCCGCUUAUACUAAAAAUUAGAUAUAACCUCUUUUAAAUUAGAAACGCUUAAACAAUCUCUUAAAUUACAUUUAUAUAUUUAUUUUUUAUUUUUAAUUUGAGUAUUAAACAAACUAUUUCCUCUAUAUCUUUUCUUUAUUUAAAAAAAUAUUGUUGAGAGAAAAUAAUUUUGGACAUUUAACUUUUUUUUAAAAUAAAAAAUACUAAAAUACAAUCUAAAUUUAUGUGGAAAGAGGCGUAACAGAUAUACCCGAAACCCGUUGGAAAUACCCGAUCCCUAUUAGAUAUGGGUUUAGGGUUAUACUUUUUAUCCCCGCUCGAAUUUGGGAUGAAUUUGAAAAAACUCAAACUUUAUGAAUUUGAGUUUGGGGAGGGCAAAAUUUAUCCCAGUACACCCCAUUGCCAUGCCUAUAUGGAAUUUCUACAUUGUAAUUCUCUCAAUCUCUCUUUUCAAUUAUUACAUCUCCACGAUUAAAGAGAAAAAGAGGUAGAUAAAAUAAAACUAAUAAUAAAAAAAUAAGAGAUUGAGUUNNNNNNNNNNNNNNNNNNNNNNNNNNNNNNNNNNNNNNNNNNNNNNNNNNNNNNNUGGAGAUAGUAAUCCAUUCCACGAACCACAUUCAUCUGCACCGUAUAAUUAAAGAAUGUGGCGGUGGUUGUCCUCUUUUUCAUUCAUUAUCGGAAUAAUCCUCGUGUAUAAUGGCUUCUUUGUGUUCGUUCCAGAUGAGCACCACUUCCUAUGGACAAAUUUAUAUAAGAUACUAAUAGUAAUAUUCCAAGAAAAAUAUUCCAAGAAAAAUACAAAAAAAAAAAACAUAUUUCAAAUUAUUAUAUUUUAGUUUUUUUUAAUAAGUUUGUUUUUUAUUUGUUUCUCUUAUAAUUUGGGACGGAGACAUUACUUUAGAAAUAAAUUUUAUAUUUUUAAAUUAAUUAUAUAAUUAAUGUAUUUUAACUUUAUUAUAGUCCAAAUACAUUUAUUAUAUAAUCAACUUUGAGAUGUGUAUUCUUGUGGAGCGGGUAUGAGUAAUUACCGCAAAAUCGAGCGGGUGUGCGGGUACAUGUACCCUUAGUAUCCGCUUCACCCCAUACCCACAUACUAUAUACUCCCUCCGUCCCAAAAAGAAUGACCCAUUUUGAAAAUGUACACUAUUCAUAUAUCUUGGUUUGACCAUAGUUUUCUACUAAUAAAUAAAAAUAAAUAUUNNNNNNNNNNNNNNNNNNNNNNNNNNNNNNNNNNNNNNNNNNNNNNNNNNNNNNNNNNAUUUUUACUAUUAUACAAUUAAAAAUAUUAAUCGUCAAAGUUAUGCAUCGGCAUACGUGAAACAGUCAACUGUGUCAUUCUUUUUGGGACGGAGGGAGUAUUUAUUUAUUUUAAUUAUAUAAUAAUGUAAGGGUCAUGCUAAACAGUGCCUCCGGGACACUUGUUAAGCAUACCUAAAAAGGAAAUAAAAAAUAAAAUUUAUUUUGAAAAGACAACUUUUUCUACUUUUCAGGCAUUGAAUGCACGUAUUUCGAAACAGAAUUUCUAUUUUAACAUGUUUAACCAGUGCCCCGGGGGCACUGUUUAGCAUUUUCCAUAAUAUAAUAAUAUUUGUAACUCAAUAUAAAAAAUACAACAUUAUUAUUAAACAACAUGAUAUUAUUAUUAAACAACAUUAAAAUCUUUGAAAUUCUUUUAAUUAUACUAAAACAAUGGAUUUAAUUGAUAUGCACAGACGGUAUAAAAUAAUUUUAUAUAAGAUACAUGACAAAAUAAUGAUUAUUUAUUGAAGGAUGGUGUAAAACUAUUUUAUACCGUCGAUGCAUAUUAAUUAAACUCCAAAAUAACAUGAUAUUUUAUAAUUGAUUUAUAUAUUUUUAGCAAACAUACAGGUAACCGGUACCAUAGUAUGGAUAUUUUAUACCGUCGAUGGAUAUUUUUUUCAAAUGGGUACUAUAUUACCCUAUCAUCCAUUGUCAUGUGAAAGAUAAAUGAUAACAUCCUGCAAAAAUGACUUGCCUUGGCAACAACUUUCAGGAGAUUAUACGAUGGAAUCUGAAUUGAAUCAACACGUGCUUCUUUUCCAACAUUGUUGUGAUGCUUUCCCUUCUGGGUGAUAAUUGCUUGCUUCAAAACAAUACCUAAUUAGAUAAAUGAAAUCUAUCAAAAGGAAAAAAAUAAAGAACCCAUAUAAACAUAAAUUUUAAUGAUUGAAAUAGUUAUAUACUCCUAAGAUCUUAGUAGAUAACAAGAGAAACAAAGAAAAAAAAAAUACUGAAAUGGCCUUCAACAUGAUUAGCACAUAAGAAGAUUCCCGAAUAAACAGAACCAUCUUUAACGUGAACAGUAACUGGACCACCAACAAUGCUCAUGAUAGUGAAGACCAAUGUUGUACUCAGUGGUGGUGAAGGUAGCUUCUCUUCUUUUUCAUUCUCUCUAUAAAUAGCAACACAUAUUUUAGAUCGAGUUGUGUUGGUCUUGUUGAGUUUAACUAGUUUUUCGAAGCGAUCCACCUUGGCUUUCAACUCUAUUAUCUUCUCAAUGGUGCUAACUUUGUUUUCCAUCUUAUUCUCCAUUGUUAAUUAGGUACCUAUGCAAAGAAUGAGUAUUUAUAAAACUUAGAGAUGAAACUUUUUUUUUUAUUUUUAAAAUUCGUAUCUCGCCUACUAUUACCGACUAAUCUGGAUUUUCUUGGAAAAGCCGUUCCUCCAAUUAAGCCUAUGUUUACUCUUAGUUGAUUGACUUCGCAAUGUAAGUAGGGGUGUAAGUGGAUCAGAAAAAUUCAAUUAAACCGAUGAUCCAAUCCAAUACAAACCGAAAAAAAACCGAUUUGUUUGGUUCGGAUCAAAAACCGAACCAAACUAAUAGAAAACCAAUGUGGUUUGGUUCGGUUCUCGGUUCCAUUUUCAAAUCCAUUGGAUCGAACCGAACCAAACUGAUAUAUAUAUAUAUAUAUAUAGGCGGCACUUCAAAUGAGAGCAAGGUCUUAUAGUGAGAGAUGAGAGGAAUAAAUAUAAACCAUUAGAUGUAAAAGGACGAUNNNNNNNNNNNNNNNNNNNNNNNNNNNNNNNNNNNNNNNNNNNNNNNNNNNNNNNNNNNNNNNNNNCUCAACUACCUUUAAAAAAAAUCUCGCCUCACAAUUAUAUCUGCCUUCAUUGAAACCCUAACUUAGAAACACAUAUACUCACGUCACAGUCGUGUACGAGAGAAACAGACAAGCUGCUCUCAUCUAAGAUCUAUCUCACCUAAUCACUUGGUGCUUUUUAUUGUUUUUCCUUAGUUUGUUUUUGCUUCUCUUGUACUUGUUUGGAGAUAGCUUGAAUAAAUUUUACCAUUACAAAAAAAAAAUAGCAUGGAACACAUCGGAAAAAAAUACGAUGUAAAACCGAUCAAAGUAUCCGAACCAAACCGAACCAAACCAACGAAUUUGGUUCGGAUUCAUUUUUGAAAAACAGUAAAAACCGAAUCAAACCGAACCAAUUGAGAGUUCAUUGGUUCGGACAUCGGAUUCACUCAAAAUCGAACCAAACCGGUCCAAUUACACCCCAAAUGUAAGUUCUAAACUGAAUUUUGAGUGGAAUGAUUUAAAUAGGGAACGGAGCGAGAUUGAGCUGAUCAUACUUUAUUACUCAUUGAUCCAAUAUUUAAAAUGUUUCUCAUCUCCGGCUCUAUUCCAUGUUUUGAGGAGUAUUUUACCUCCAUCCACAUCCUCGCGGAUUCACAUAGUUCCUGUGGAGAUCCAUCAAUCUUAAAAAAGUAUAACAUUUAUAUUAUUUUCAAUCAAACUAGUCCUAAAAAAGAUAAUAAACUUUAAUAAUUAUACAAAAAAAUCCAAAUAUUAUUGAUUCCGACAGUAAUAACUAAUAAACAUCAUAUAUAUAUAUAUAUAUAUAUAUAUAUAUAUAUAUAAAUAUGGGUUUUUCUAACCUGUGCAACAUUGCCCAGGAUAAGAAAGGAGAAAUUAAUGCAUUUUUUUUUCUCUCUUCCUUAUUUUUCUCCUAAUUUAUUAAGUUACAAUUAAUGUCUAUUUUUUUUCUUCUUUUCUUUCUUUCUCUCUCCACUCUCUCUAAUAAUCUCACGCUCUUUUUUUUCUUUUUUCCACUCAAGAACACAUUCAUGUGUUCAUCAUGAAUAGCAAGAACACCGGCGGCGAACCACCAUCUGGACUAGAUUCCGGCGGGGUCUCACAAAUCGCCGCACAAACCGACAGGAACCCAAAACAAACCACAAAAACACCCAAAUUAACCAAAUCCCUUUUAAACACUUAUUUACCAUUUUUAAACACAAAUCAAAUCUCAAACAACGAAAUCGAAACAAACAUAUCAAAACCCAAAAAAAUAAUUUUGUUCUAUUACCUCUUGUUUCUUUUUAAAUUUCUUUUUGUUCUUCUGGUUUUUUUUUUUUCCUCUCUUCUAUUUACUGUUUUGUUUUUUAUUGUGUUUCUUAACCAAAUUUGAGAGAAAGAAGAAAAAAGAGCCUGUGCAAUAUUGGAGUAAGUGAAGAGAGAGAGAAAGAAAAGAAAAAAAAAAUAGGUAUUAACGGUUGUUAGUUAAUUAUGAGAAAAAUAAGGGAGAGAGAGAAAAGAAGACAUUAAUUACUCUUUCUUAUCCUGUGCAAUAUUGCACAGGUUAGAAAUAAAUAAAGGGUUUAUCUAUUAUGUGCAAAUUUGCAUAGGUUAAAAAAUUUAACAUAGUAAGUUUACAUUGUAACUUGUGCAUUUUAUAUUAACAUCGCUCUUGUUGAAGGAGUCAAGGAAGUCAUAUGGUUGAAGACUAUGAUUGGAGAGAUGGGGACUAGUCAAGGGUGUGAGAAGAUACAUUGCGACAACCAGAGUGUCAUUCAUUUGGCAAAUCACCAGGUGUAUCAUGAGAGGACGAAGCACAUCGACAUCAUGUUGCACUUUGUCAGACACAUGAUUGAGUAUCCGGAUGACAUGUUCACCAAAUCACUACCUAGAGCAAAGUUCAAGCAUUGCUUGGACUUGAUUAGCUUCGUUGAAGAGUAGACGAAGGUUGGAGAGAACAACACGAUGGUUGGUUGAAAGUUGGCAUAACCAUUGUAACAUCCCACUCUAAAUAUUGCACAUAGUAGUUAAUUUAAAGGAUGUUAAAUUACACAACAAGAAACUUGGAUUGAGACUACACACUUAAGCAGCGGGUUCCCUUUUAAGUAGUCUUGGCAACCAUAAGACCAAUGAAUAGGAUUUUAAUUUGUGAUUUUAGAACUUAUGCUAAGACAAAUAAAGUUUAAGUAGAUGAAUCGUUGGUUAUGUUGAAUAAGCUAUUUCCCUUUGCCCCAAAUGCUUAUCACUCUGCUAAAAGCAUGAUUAAGGGUUGUUAUUGAAUGUGGUGGAUUGGGAAUGAUUUGGCCAUGUUAACCUCUGGUUUGGAAAACUUGUUUUAAAGAAAAACUCAAUUUUUUAACAAGGUAAAUCGAUUUACCUGCACUCUGGGAGUGGAAAAUGCAUAUUUUGACAGGGUAAAUCGAUUUAUCGCUCAGGUAAGUCGAUUUACCUGCACCUUGUAAAGGAAAAACGCAGUUUUAACAAGCCCUGUACACAGAUAACUCUCAUUUUUAAGGCAUGUAUGAUUCCUAAUUCAUAAGACAUCAAUCUAUAAUUUAUUAAACAUGAUUUUAGCUACACAUAACCUCAUGGAAUAUGUUUCAAUUAAGGAAUAAAGAUUAUCAUUAAAUUGAACUUAGAAACUAAGCAUGUAAGUUCCCCGAGUUUGGGAUAUGAUUCUUAGGUACCUCGAGGUCACGAUUAAUUGUCAUUGUACGUUGUGAUGACGAAAUAAGGAUGUCAUAAACUCUUAUAAUUAAAUUUCCAAACCUUAACACGUCAUCAUAAUGCAUAUCGACGAUUAUUUGUGAGCUUGGAGUUUCUAGACUUGAUAACAAAAGAUACGCUAAGGUUACGUUUAAUCUUGGUUCUAUAUUAUGGCAAUAGCUCGGAGUUAGACAAACACAUUUUUAUCUAAAACCAUUCCGAACUCUUGAGGAAUUAACGUAACGUAGGUAAUGCCUCCCAACUGAUUAUAUGUAAUUUUAGCAAGGUCUUUAUUAUGAGAAUAUGAGUUAAUAGGUUCCCGGGGAUUGGGUUAUGAUGGUUAGGAAAAAAGAACAACUUAUGAUUGUUAUUAUGUUAGUUGAUCAGUUAUGUCGUGGAUGUGUUGCACCACAAUUCAUGUUAUGAUUGAUUCCCGUGUAUUAGUAGGAAUCCGUUAAGUUAAAUAAAUUAUGUGAGUAAUGACCAACGUGGCAUAGCUAUGUCACAACGGGUAGUGGAGAACAUCCUAAGUGAAGGACAUCCUAAGGGGAGAACAUCCCUAGUGAUCUUUCGAGAUAUACUCACCUCGGAAGCUUCCUGUAAAAUGAAUCAAGAUAACUAUUGUGUGAUACAUCUUUAGUUUCUAUAAAGAGAAUUAUUAUUAUGUUUAAGCCAUUUUUAUGAAUGUAAUGAAUUAACGAUUGAUUCCAAAAUGGUUCGUAAGAUAUAGUUGUACCUAGAUGGGUAGCAAGGAAUCCAUUGAGACGAAGUGACUGUCUCACCCCACUCCCUUUUGAUACAGAUAAACAGGUUGCAAUGUAGAGAGCUAUGGACCGGAAGAAAUGAAGUGGCAUGAGAUGUUAUUGUCAUUGUUUAUCUGGAUAUUCUAUUAAGUUGUUGUAUAAGUUAGUGUCAUAGUAUAUUGUAUUGACUGUUUAUUUAUGGCUCUGAUGUAAGUUUUAAGUUACAUUAUGACAUAAAUGUUAUCAUUCAGUUUAGUCAAUACUUAUAAUGACAAGGCUUUUAUGCGUUAUGAGUAUAUACAACGAGUUUAAUUCAGUAAUUUUAACGUAUCUUGAUUCUUUUAUUUACGUCUCGGCUAAUAUUUUAGACAAAUUAGCAGGGGUGUUAUAACAAUCAAUUUAAAGGCAUGGUGGAGAAUUGUUGUAAUUGCCUUGAAAUUUAUGUUCAGAAAGUGGGUUUCAGUUGGUCAAUUCGUGAAAACAGGUUAAGUUGUUGCCUCCUCACAUUAGGCACAUCGAGGGCAACGCUAGGCACAACGUUGCGGGCUUAGUGUCUGUUUGGCCCUCCUUAUUUUUUACUUUUCUACUUCUUUUAAGGAGAAGUAGGGCCAAACACAAUUUUGAUAAAAUUAUUAAAAUAAGAAGUGUCUUUUUUUAAUGAAAAAGCACAAUAUAAAUGACUUAAAAAAAGAAUUUAUUUUCAUAAAAAAAAAGAAUUUAUGAUAAUUAUCUUUUUAAGUUGUUGUUGUUAUUAUUAUUAUUAUUAUUAUUAUUAUUUAUUAUUAUUAUUAUUAUUAUUAUUAUUAUUAUUAUUUUCUAAGUUUGUUAUAUUAUUAGGAUAAUUAUCUUUUAAAUUUAGAUGAUCACAAAUUUAUGAUAAGUUAGUUAUUAAUUUAUUUUAUUAAACAGAUUUAAUUUAAAAGUGAUAAUUAAGUUCAAAAAAAUAAUAUUAAUAAAUAUCAAACAACUUUAACUUUAAGUUUAAAGUUUUUAUUUUCAACUUUAUUCUUAAAGCAACUUUUAAGGCUAAAAUAAGGAGGGCCAAACGGGCACUUAUAUAUGUUGUGCGUUUUCUGACUUUUUUUAAGGGGAUUUUAUGGUUUCUGAAGCCAACAGAAGACUAAGGUUUAUAAGAUAAUUCUCUUGGGUAAACACUAGCCUUGGGGAUUGAUUCAUCAACUUGGGAAACACUUUUCAUAUUGAAUUUCUUGGCCACGGGAGUAAAUUCGGGCAAAGGGUAUAAUUAAGAUCAAGGCUAAUUCUUGUAAUCUCUUUGGAGAGUUUCUUUGUAAUCAAAUACUUCAUUUGAUAGUGGAACGGAGAGCUGCUCUAUCUCCCAGAGUAGGUCAUUUUGACCGAACUGGGUGAACAAUAUUCUGUGCUCUUUUUUCUUUCGCCGUUUUAUCUUUUGAUUGUAAUUUAUUGUCGUUCGCGCUCUAUUUGGCUGGUUCAAUUUAUUUGCUUCGCACAUCAAGGUUAUUUAUUGGUGUGACUAACAAAUUCACAACAUAAAAAAAAUAUGUUUUCCUUUGUUUCGACACUCUUUGAUUCUGUGUCCGAUAAAUGUAUAAUAAUCGUAUAACACGUGCGCGGGAAAUUCAAACAAGUUCAAAAACAAUAUUUUUUUUUCCUUCAACACACCAUUGAACAUGUGUGGUAACAAUGUUGACCAAUGAUGUGGUUUUGGAAAAGUAUCAAUGAGGGAGUUAAAGGCAUUAAAUUUUAAUUACAAUAUUUUUAACUUAUUUAAUAUAGAUGGAUAAAUAAAGGUCGAAAAAUACAAUCAUAUCUCAAUUUUGAAUUUUUUUAACUAAAUAAAUUAAACAAUUAAGAUCUUUUAUAAAUAAUAUUAUUAUUUUAUUUAAUUAUAAGAAAUAUGUGUCGGUAUCCUAUGUUUUUUAAAUUAUUAUCAGUGUUGACGUGUUGGUUUCGGUGUAGUGUCAGUGCCUGUCUCAGAGUCCUUCAUAUUAGUAAUGGUAAUAUAGUUAGCCUGUUAGUUAGUUCUGUUUAGUCACUUGGUUAGUUAGUUAGUAGCUGUUAGUUAUUAUUUCUGUUAUUUGACAGUUUUUUUCAGUUAGUUUCUGUUUCAUUCUCCUAUAAAUAUAACAGACUAGGCCUAGUGUAUGAUACUUUUACAUAUCUACCUUUCUAAUCACAAUAAGUUUAGUUUUCUUUCUAACAAAGUUUUCAAUGGAAGUUCCCAUGUCUGAAGAAGAACUAGGGCUCAAGAUUGAAGAUAUUCUGGGUGCAUCGAAGAACAUGGAUGGAGGACCGGGAAAUUUGAUAGUCGGAGUUAGCAAGGCCAUGGAGCUGAUCAACGAGCUGAUUCUUAAGCACAAAAAGAAUGAAGAACCAUUACCAUCUCUCAGUGAAGAGACUCUUUACACUUUGCUCACCAUUGUUGGUCCAGAAGUCAACCUUCACACCAAGAAUGGUGAUGUUUACAGUGGAAUCCUUUAUGUUGCAUCUCCUAAAACAGAUUUAGGUACAGUUCUUUUUCUUGAACUAUUCAAUAGUUUAUAUUUACCUUAUCUAAGGAUUUGUUUUUCUUUAUUAUUAGGUAUACAGUUGAAGCAAUGCAAAUUAGGAAAUGGUAUCAUAGUAGAUUCCCAAGAUAUUCCAAUAAAUCAAAUUUCUAAAAUUGUUGCAAAGGGCAUUACGGUUCUAGUGGAGAAUCUUGGCCGGAGUUUCUUGAAAACGGAUGAUGAAAAAGAGAAGCAGCCAAAUUCAAUCUACCAGAUUGAUGUUCAAAAGAUAUCUAGUGGAGAAGAUACUAGGAGUUCGUUAAUUGUUAAGAACAUUCCUAAGAGGUAAGAAAAUGAUGAUUUAUUAGGUAUAUUCAAAAGAUAGCAGUGUAGAAAUAUUUUUAAAUUUUUUAGUUUCUUAUGAUUUUUGCCUAUUGUGAAUUCUUUUAAGGUAUACUUCAGAAAUGCUUAUAUCUGAAAUCAAUGAGACUCAACCAGGGACUUUUGAUUUCAUCUACCUUCCACGUCUCAAGCAAGUAUGAUAUACAUUUUAUUAUUAGUAAUGUUAGAUUUUUCUUCUGUCUUUCUAGGAUGAUUUAUUUAGUAAUGUUUUUUUUUUCUUCUUGCAGGAUAGAAAUAGGAAUCUAGGCUAUGCUUUCAUCAAUAUGGUCUCACCUUCAAAAAUCAUUAGCUUUUAUCAGGUUUUUUAUUUUAUAAAUUUUCUUGUUAUUUGUUUCAGUUCAGAUUUUUUUCUUGUCAUUUAUCUGUUUGUAUUAAAAUUUUCAUGAGCAUAGCUUGUCUUGUAAAUAAUUACCUAUAAACUAUGUGCAUAGUUUGUCAUUUAUCUGAUAAAUUUCUUAUAGAGAAGUAUUUAUAUGCUUAAAUACAUUGAAUUAUUCUGUCUUUUCUUAAUAUUUGGUAGUGUAAUCUGUUUAACUAGUAUUAAAUUUGUCCUAGGAGAAGUAUGUAUACGCUUAACUGAAACACGUACAUGAAAAUUUAUGCAGGCUUUUAAUGGCAAGAUUUGGGACAAGUUACAAAGCGAAAGAGUUGCUUCCCUCGCAUAUGCUCGAGUUCAAGGAAAGGACGCGCUCAUAAUGGAAUAUGUGACCAAACAUGCAGACUCAGAGACUCUUGACAUGCGCCCAACACUAUUUUUUUCUGAGAGCCAAUACCAAGAGGUAUUAUUUUAUUCAUAUCGUAUGCUUACUACUUUCAAUUAUUUCAAUAAUUUUUUUAUUGGGUAAAUUUGAGUAUUGCUAUAUUUUGUUUUGUUAUAUGAUUCAUAUAUGGCUCUCUCUGUGACCGUCUAGGAAAGCAUUCGAUACAGGAACUUGAAUAUCCGCAUACAUCAACCGGAAAUGAUGUAGCUGUGAUGAUAUGGUACGAGGAGAGGAGAGCUUGAAGGAAAAUUCAGACGUUGAUGUAUCGAGAAAUGAGGAAUAUUGUUGUCCUGUAGUUUUUUUUUUUUCAUCUUGUAUUUCGAGUUUCGACCCCAAAAAUUCACUCUAAAUCUUCCAUUAGAUAUACUAAAAAGAAAUAAAAUGCAGACUGGUGUGUUCCAUAAAUAUCUAAGCCUAAUCAUUUUGUAAAAUUGAAAUGUUUUGUUGUGUGUUUUAACUCUGCAACUCAAACAGGGUUUCCAUAGCAACUGCCAUGCAAAGAGUUUUGUGUCAUAUUUUCAGAAAAUAUUUUAUGGCCAUUAGUGAGCCUAAUUCAUUUCAUUUGAUUUCAUAGCAUAAUCAAAACCUCAAAUUGGCAGCAAAUUAAACUUUGGGAAUUAAUGUUUAUAAAAAAAAAAAUGAAAAGGAGGGCAAUGUGGCACUAUACAAUGGGGAGAGUGUUAAGAUAGUUGCUAUUCGCCUUCUUAAAGUGAUCUUGUACUCAUCCUUAUGAAUAGGGUAAUUUUUUCAGGCUUUGUGUAUUAAUUUUUGAGGUAUUGCAAACUAAAAUGUCCUUUACAUAUUAGCCACUAAAGGCCAAUUUGAUUUGCACAGGAUAAAUACUUGACAGAAAAAUAUAAGACAAACUUUUAAGUUAUUGGACAAUUUUUUAUUUUUUCUUAACUUAGCUCUGCUAGGAUAAAUACUUGACAGAAAAAGAAAAAAAAAGCAUAGCCAUAGACAUAGACAUGUUCAGCUAAAGAGUAAAAACUUGAAUUCAUUCUUUCCCUUGUCAAUUCCAACACAAAUCGAAUUUGACAUCAUCUACCAAUAAACAUUUACACAAAACACCUCAUGUAAUCUAGACUAGAGUAGAGUAACUAGUCUAAUGAUAAGAACACUAGACUAACUAGUUGGAACUCAAAGUCUUAUACAAUCAAAUCAUUCCAUAAUAGUUGGUAAUUUUAUGGUAAACAAAACCACUCAUGCUCAAAACCAAAAUCCUAAAACAUAAAUCAGUAUCCUAUACAAUGAUUUCCUUUACUGUACACAGCAUCAUUUCACCUCAUACAGUAAAUCUUUAUUUCACAAAUAAACACAAAAGAAAACAUAACACUUAUGGGAGAAACUCUGCACAAAAGAAAUAAAAAACUUAUGAUUAACAAAUAGAAUUUGGAGUAAUCAGCAUGAAGUGUAAAAACAGGCAAAUAGUGUAACUAGGGAAAGCACGGUUAAGCAAUAGACAUCAGAGAGAUUGUUUAAUGAAGGCUUGAAGGAUAACUUCUUACACUGCCAGAAAUGUGCUUGACUCAUUGUAAUAUCCAUUCUCUCAAGGAAGAUUAGGAUUAUACUUGUCCCAAAUUUUCCUUAAAUCCUUCAAAACAAGUGGUUUGUGCUUGUUUUCAAGAGUUUUGAAACUUGUUUCAGUACAAUGUGACAGGUCCUGUCAACAAUAUGUAGAAUUAGAUGAAUCUCUAGACGAAUGUUUUACAAAAGAGACCAAUCAUGCUAAAAAAAAUUCAAGUAUCAAUCAAUAAGGAAUUAACAUUCACUAUCAUGAUAGUACAGGUAAAUGGAUUGAGAACGGUCGACGUUUCUUGCGGUAGUAAUCUGCAGAAUGUGCUUUUAUCAGUCUUAAUGGAAAAACGACCAAUUUUCAUCUAAUAAGACUAACAUAACUUAUAAACAAAUGUGUCAGUUGCUACAGGACUGUGUCAAUAGGUAGCUUAUAUAAUGUUAUAAACAAAUCCAAUUCAUAAAGUCAUCAAAUUCAUAAGAAACCACACAAUGUUGAUAAAUCUCACACUACAAAUUAAUAGCCCCAUCUCACCUAUUAUUGCAUCGCGGAGUAUCGAUCUUUUUUGUUUUCCACCUCAGCCCUGCAACAUAUCACAGACAUAAAUUAGUAGUCAACUUCCAGCCACAUUUUCAUAUCACAGACAUAAAUUAAUAGCCCACUUUUCACCUAUUAUUACACUUAAAAGCAGACACUCACACAGGGGCAGUAGUAGUUACCAAUAGCAGUGGCCAAUGACUUUUCACCAGAAAGAAUUUUAACAACAUCAGCACCCUCCAGAGCUUUUCCAAGCUUUUCUUCACUCAAGUACCCAGUUACCUACAAUUGAAACCAAAAAUGGAAACAAAAAAAUCCUCAAUAAAUAGUGCAACAACAUUAAACUCAAGUAAAAUUUGCACACAACUGCAGAAGAGUAAAAUAAACAACAGUAGAAUGUACAAUGACAUUAAAAAACAAUAGACCUCAACCAUUAAUCUCAAUAGUUUGAGUAAGAUCACCCAACACCUUUCACAACCAGUUCAUUGCUAUGUUGAUUACUACAAUAUAAUACUUCUAUCAUUACCAUAUCCUCUCUCUGCCCAUUAAAAAGCUUGCAAGAACAGUGAGUUAAAAACAAAAUAUAAAUAAAAAAUGGCCAAACAAAGUUUAGAAGUACACACCGAGCCUUCACUACCUUAUCAAGCCACCAAAUAAUGCUAAAACAUUCACUACAGAAAUCUUGUUUGAUGUUGCUAAAUCUAUGACCAUAACAAUGCAUUGUUCCACCAUUCAAUUUUUGUUCUUCCACUCUACUACAAUACUACAAAUCCUUCAAAACAAUGAAAACAAAUGCUACUAUCACUGGAAUUGUCAAUUUCUAUUUUGUAAUUCAAUUUCUGUUCUUCCACUCUACUACAAAACUACAAAUUGCCAAUUUCAUUCAUGUUAAAAAUGCAAAUCUAAAACACAACAAUGUAGAAAUUAAGCCUAUGUUUCAAAACAAACUUCAUAUCUAAAAAAUAAAUCAGCCAAUUAAAUUUUCAGAUCUUCAAUCUUCCAAACUAAUGAAGCAACUAAAUGCAGUUUCCAAUAACAGAUUUUACAAGAAAUUUUUGAAAUAUCAAAUCCUAAGCUAGGUUAAAAUAGAUGCGAACUACAUACCACAAAUUCGUGAGAUUCAGAGGAAUUCAGAGGGAUCCUAAGAAAGUACAUAGCUCAACAAUUGAUUUUUGAAAUUGACUUGAAAAUCUGAAAUCAUAUCAGAAAUCAAAACCUGUUGAGGGUACUUCAUUGUAACCAAUGUUGGUUACUUGUAAAACAAGUAAUAGAGUUAGUUAGGUGAUUUUAUGUGAUGAGUUGUGUGUGUUUGUUAGUUUUUCUGUCAUGUUAGUUAUUUGAUCUUAAGGAGGUAGUUAGGGGUAGUUACUAGUUUGUUAGUAACUUAACCCACAAGUAACGCAUAAUAAAUAGUGGUGUAAAGUGAGUAAGUGUGAUCAAUAACAAUAAUUUCUUUCUCUCUUAAUUCUCUCUCAAUUAUGUGUGUAUGUUCUUGCUUUAAUUAAGUUCCAACAGUGGCAUCAGAGCCAUUGACAAUUGAUCCAUGGGGUUUCAAUAAUGGCUUCCGCAAAAGAGAUUACUUUUCAAUCAAAGAUAUGAGAAGUGGGUGGUGAGGAUGCAAGAAAUCUUUGGUUUCUGGAGAGUGCUGGAAAUGGUGCAAAGAGGUAUCCAAGAAGAGGAAGAUAGUGCUUCCUGCAAGAAACCGAGAAAAGAGUGAAUUUUCAGAGGAGUUCUUCUACCAAAUGUGCAAAAGCGUCAAAAGAUUCAAACAAAUCUCACAGUGGAGCCAAAGAAGAAAGGUGCUUGGCAAAGAGGAAAGUGAAUUGCUUACAAAAGUGGUAUCAGGCACAACACACAGAGAGAGAUUUUUAGAAAGUGAGUCUUGAUGAUGAAGUGAUUCUGAAUGUUGAGGUAAAAAAUGUUUAAUUCUUUGAUGUGCUCGUGUUUAUUCUUGUAAAGAAUUGUAAGAAUUUGAAGAAGAUUUCAGUUAUGUCGUAAUUAUUCGGUGUUAAGGGUGUUCAUGCCGUCGUAGAUUACAACAUCAUUAUCAAUAAAGUUUCUGUUAAGAGGUUUCGUAUAGUUAACGAUGAAGAUAGUGCUAAAUCAUUUUCUGGUAAUGGGUCAUUUUCAUUGAAAUUGAUCAAUUUGUUUGAAGGAUCUUGUUAACGGCCACACAUUUGCGAUGUUAAUAAUUUGUUUUAAAAUGCUUCAAACUAUGGAAUUGAUUCGGUGUAUUGGUGACUGAGAGACAAAUCUUGUGACAGUGGAUAAGUUGAAUUCUGGGUUGGUUGAGAUUUAUCUUGAGAAGAUUCGUGGUAGUGAUGGGAAGCUUGGAAGUGUUAGUGAUUACUGUGUGCAAUGCAUCAUUGUGUCUGUCCUGUUAUUGUUGUUUGCUAUCCCGAUGAUGAGGUUGUUGUUGCUGUCAAGGAAGAUGAGGAGGGUGGGGCUGUUAUCAAGCCUGUUGAUGUUUCUCAUGAACAUAAGAAAGAAGAUUAAUGGGGAGUCAAUUGAUCACAUCAACUUUGUCUCUACAGGUUGCACUUUAGAGCAUUUUCCUGGAUGUUAACUUGGAAAGAUUUUGGUCCUUUAGGCUCUGUAUGCUUGGUUCCAAACUGGUAUAUAGUUAGUGAUGCCAGUGUUGAGUGCAUUCUUGUGUUUGAGUAUUGUAAUUUGGCUAAACUCAAGGUGUAGAGACAUUGGCAACUGAAAUUCCAGCACGCAGUGGACAGAUGCUACACAAGAUGCUACAGCAACUGUCGUAGCAAUAUAAAAGCUGGGGAUAAUAAAGACAAUAAACAACAAUAAAGUAAAUAACAUAGAUCUUUUGUUAACCCAGUUCAGUUCAACGUCACCUACUCUGGGGGAUACCAAUCCAGGAAUGAAUCCACUAUAAUAGCUCUAGUUCAAAGCCCUCGACCAACACCCGGUACUUGACUUAUCGCCUAGACACUACCCGUGCAAUCCUACCUAGGAACCUCCUAGAUAUGAGACCCCGUCUCAAUCCCUUCUAACAACACGUAUUGUGUUGCUGUAAACUUUAAAACGAUCAAGAGAUGGAGACACUCUCCUAGAAACUAGACUUCACUCUCGCUUAAAAGUUCUCGAGUGAAACACACACACACACUAACUCUGUGCUUCAAAGCUUAGGAGUAGUUUACAAUUAAAACCCAAGACACAGUCCUAAACUUGCAUCAAAGUGACACAAGAAAGGCUCACAAUUAACAACACACUCUAAACCCUAAAACUCACACUUUUAGUAAAACACGGUUUAGAUUACAUGAGUAGAAUAGGCAUGAGUCUUCUCGUAUUUAUAGUCUUCAAUUGUCUUGAUGUGCAAGCUAGGUUUUCAGACCCACACAGCUGUAAGUAUUGCGGCCAACCCUAAAUUAUUUUUAAAAAUAAAACCAUGUUUGAUUUAACGCAAAAAUAUAUUAUGUUAUAUUUUUGUUUUACAUAAAGCAUGCAAACUGCCUUUCAGAAGCUUGAGCAGCAAGACUUCAAAUAAACAGCUGGAAUCUUCAUUGGCCAGCUCACAAGAUUUACUUCAAAAUAAUUCUUCAAUAAAGAUUUACUCCAAAACAAUAUUUGAUGCAUUCCAAAAAUAUUGAGUCAUAUUUUUGGAGAAAAUAAAAUAAACAACCGCCUUUAGAGACUUGUGGGACAAGGCACGUCUUGGCUUGUUGGAUAAGCAUGAAAUUAUUUCUGAAACAAAUCUAACAAAAAUAUGAUAUAAAAAUUCCUGCGCAAAACAGAGCAGACAAUGUUGUACUCACAUGCUACAACAUCUUGUCCAGCAUCUGGCUAGAGUUGGUUUUUGCAAAAUGUAGCUAAUCACAAAAACCCAACAAUCUCCCCCUUUGACAAAUUUUGGCUAAAACAACCUUAGGCCAGUGCAUAGAGAGAUAUAGUCUAAACUUUCCUUCGAAUCAACACAAGCACACAACUAGGAAAGAAAGUAGAACAUUGCUAAGCUAUAUAAAAUAGAUCAUCAGAUGACAAAUAGCUAGCAAGUAACAUCAAAGGCAUGCAACAGCGGAACAUAACACAUCUAGCCUCAUAGAGUACAGUCAGAGAGAAAUAAACUCUCACAAAGUGGAUUCAAGAUAAGAGAAAUAAACUCCUUCAUAGUAAAGCAAUGCCACAUAGUCAGACAUGCACAUCAUAUAUAGUAGAAAAAUAAAUUCUACCUACUCCCCCUCAAUACGUGCAUAAACUUCACUCCCCCUCAAAACAUGCAUAUCACACAUGCAUAUCACACAUAGAUGAUAUACUAGAUGUUAUAGCAUUCUUCAUCACAUCAUGCACAUAAGAAAUAUUACUCCCACUUUUUAGCCAUAAAUUCUGACAAAUAAAGUCAGUACCAUAGAAUAGGAGCAGAAUACAAAGUACCACAAAGUAUCAGAGAGUAUCAGAGCAUAGAAAACGUGUCAGGUAUUAUUGGUGUGUUUGUAUCGUAUCUGAUGUCUUGUGUAUGUGCUUCAUAGAUGCAAAUAAUGAGUUAUAUGAGUGUUCUACUUGUUUAAUUUAUAGGAGAUGAGGACAUGGAUCGUAUGAUAAGAAACGUGCCAAGUAUGGAAAACUUGCUUCGAUGUAGAGAUCUUCCAAGUUUCAAAAGAAUAUCCAAAGAAAACGAUCAUAUUGCUUUAGACCAUUUUGUAUUUCAAACCCAACAAUCACUUAAAGCAAAUGCGUUGAUACUCAACACAUUUGAGGAUCUAGAAGCUCCAAUCCUCUCCCAAAUUCGUCUCCACUUCCCCAAACUCAUUAUCUACACUCUUGGCCCUCUUCGCCACCACCUCUAUACCACAAAAAAAACAUCAUCAUCAUUAUCAUUCUUCAAAGCGGAUAGAACAUGCAUGACCUGGCUCGAAUCUCAACCGUUGAAAUCAGUUGUAUAUGUUAACUUUGGUAGCAUCGCAUCAAUGAAAGGAGAAGAAAUCAUUGAGAUAUGGCAUGGUUUAUUGAAUAGUAAAAAACAGUUUUUGUGGGUGAUUAGGCCAAACAUGGUACAAGAAAAAGGACUAUUAAAGGAGCUUGAGAAAGGGACUAAUAAGGAACAAGGGUUGAUUGUGGGUUGGGUUCCACAAGAAGAAGUAUUGUCGCAUAAGGCAAUUGGUGCUUUUUUGACACAUAGUGGAUGGAACUCCACUUUGGAGAGUUUGGUUUGUGGUGUGCCUAUGAUUUGUUGGCCUUAUUUUUCAGAUCAACAAAUUAAUAGUAGGUUUGUGAGUGAGGUUUGGAAAAUUGGGUUGGAUAUGAAAGAUGUUUGUGAUAGGAAGGUUGCGGAGAAUAUGGUGAAUGAUGUUAUGGUGAAUAGGAAGUAAGAGUUUCUAAAAUCAGCUAUGGAAAUUGCUAAGUUGGCUACCAAGAGUGUGAGUUGUGAUGGUUCUUCCUACACCAACUUCCAAGAUUUGAUUGAAUAUAUAAGGUCCUCUAGCCCAUAAAAUAUGGGAUUUUCCUUAUAAUUCUCCUGCUAAAAACUUCUCAUAUUUUCUGUCAAAGAAAAAAACUCAUUUUUUUUAUAAGUGUAUAACAAGAUCACUAAAAGAAGUAUAUAUGUAUUUGAAGUGUAAAAUUUGAUGAUGGUUUUAUAUCACUAAAAAACCAAAAAAGUUUAUGAUCUUUUCAAAUACAUACUUGUCAAAUUAUUGAGGGAACAACACUAAUUCAUUUUCAUUAUGUAUGGAUGAUGAGAUUCCAUUAAUAAUAUGGAGAUGGAGAAAGUAGCUUCAUAAAAUAAUUUGAUUAUUGUCUUGUCUUUUGUAUAUUUUUAUCUUCAACAUUUCAUUCGUGUAAAAUUUGUUUGUUUAGGUAAAUUGGAGUAGUCCAGACCUAAUUAAAUUUCAUUGUAUAUGUAGUUUUAUAGCUUAGAAAUGGCAUAUUGCUUUUUUUUUCAUUUUGGGAUUUCACUUAGAGAUUAUAUGGUUAAUUAUAUUUUUAUUCCCUCUAUAUGUAUUAAAAUUUAUUGUUAGUUCUCUUAAAAAAUUUCUUUAAACUUUGACUUUCUCUAAAUAUUGCUUUUUAAUUUUAGUCCUUAGUUUUUUUAAAAAAUUCACGUAACAUGUUUCAAACGACUUUUUUUUUACGACUUAUUAUCGUUAAGAUCUUAAAGUAUUAUUAGUUUAAAUAUUUGAUCUUUAAUAAUUUACCUAUCAAUUCAAAUUAAAGAUUAAAUUCUUAAACUAAAAAUUAAUUAGUGAUAUUAUUAAAUUAAUAACAUUUUAAAGUUUUAAUAAUGAUUUUUGUCAAAAUAAAAGUUUUAAUAAUGAUAUGUCAUUAAAAAGUCAUUUGAAACAUGCUAUAUAUACAUGAACUUUUGUAAAAAUCUACGGACUAAAAUUGAAAACGGAAUAUUUAGAGGAUCAAAGUUUGAAAUAAAUUUUUAGAGGAUUAAAAAUGAAAUUUAAUAUAUUUUGAGGACUAAAAACAUAUUUAACAUUUGAUUACAAUAUAAUUUUUUGGGGGUUAAAUAUGAUUUAAUUUUUUUGGGGGUUAAAUAUGAUUUUAGUCCCUACAAAAUUAUGACUUUUUAAGUUUAGUAUUUACUUAAAUUUAUUAUAUUUUUAGUUUCAUAAAAAUUAUUCUAGACUCAAUUUUGACCCUACUGUUAAGUCAAUAUGUAUUUUUGAAUUAUUUUUUUCAAGUAUGUUUAAAACAUCAUAAAAAAUUUCAAAAAAAAACGAGCGGGGGAUCAAGAUCACCUGCGGUUGAACUCAAGUGCAGGACCACACAGUGAAGUAAAUUGUCCUAUUAUUAUUUAAAUAAAUUAUAAAAACACCGCUCUACAGCAUAUCCCUGCAGUUAAAACUCAACUGCAGCAUAUCCAUUUCCCUAAAGCUACUACUAAGCCUGCAAAGUACACCAUACAAACCCAAAAGCAAGAAACCAAAGGAACACUAACACAAAGCCACACCAGAAACUCAAAACCAGUGAAUCCAUCUAUCACCCGAGCUUGAGCCCCUUUUUCCCAAAGCAUCUGCUAAAUCAUUUGUUUCUCUAUUAACAUGCGCAAACUCCACAUUCUUAAUUACUAACAACAGAUAAUAAAUAAUCCACCUCAUUAUUUUAGGAAAAUGUCACUAAGGUGCGCACAACUCUUUACGAAAAUUAAAAUUGUGCACACAUUCACAUGUUUUGUAUAUGGACCUGGAUCCACUGUUGUAACUGUUUCAUGCAUUAAAAGAUUUUGACCAUAGAAUAUUGAUCGGGUUGUAUAGCUAGCUGGUAUCUAUGAAAACAAUUAGAUUUUACUUUAUUUAAUCUCCACCGUUUUUUAUCUAACGGUCAAAAACAGAUACUACGUCCACGCGGUAAUUGUGUUAAAUCUAAAAACAGCUACUACGUGUUAAAUCCAUAUCAGUUGGAAGAGUAAAAAUCGAACAACGUAUAAAUAAGAUAAUUCAUAAACUUAAUACAUAAAUAUUUUAGAUAAAAAAUAUAGUGUCAAAAUCACUUGUAUAACUAUUCUUAAUCUAAUAUAUAUUAAUUCAACUCGAUUUCUUUAUGGCCCAAACAAAAAAAGCAAAGACGUACAUGACAGGAUGAGUCGUGAGAUGUUGACAGUUUGGAACUUCUUUCACGGAGUGCACUGAAUUGGUAAAAGUUUCGGUCCACUCAUAUAAUUAUAAAUUUAUAAUGUGUGAUAGUUCAUUUUCACCACAUUAAAAUAAUUUGCACCAGUAACUCAGUAAGGGUGGAAGGGUCAGAUAGAAUUUCGAUUUGAGUUUAUCAUAAACUCAAAUUCGGCUCAUUAAAAUUCACAAAUAAUUCCAUUCAAUUUGAUUUGAUAUCUCAAAUUAAAUGAAUUAAAAUAUCAAAAAGAAUACUUGUGUUCCUUAAACUUUAAAUUCAAAUAUCAAUCUAAACUCUUGUUCAAAAAAAAUAUCAAUCCAAACUAGGCCUAAUGAUUUAGGGUCGAUUUUGGGUCAGGGCAACCAGACUGACAGCCAUAAUCUCCAAAAAUUAGAGCCUCAAUUUUAUUUAUUUUUGAAUUAAGUUAUAUUUUUGGUUUCCUAACUUUCACAAAUUUAUAAUUUUGGCUCAUAACUUUAGUCCUUUUAAUAAAAGGCUGACACUCUACUAAUUUUGACCAACACACGUGAACACACUCUACUGAUUUUGAUCAACACACGUGAACAAUAACUCACAUGAUACGUUAAUAUAUCUUGUCAUAUAUGCUGACGUAACAUGUGAGUUACUGUUCAAGUGACAUAAUUGUGAAGAAAAAAGAAAAGCCCAAAUAAAAUUAAAAAAAAGAAAAGAGGAAUAGAUGUAAAAAAUGGCAGGCCAACGUGAUAAAUUAUAAUAGACCUAAUCGUCAAAAACAAAGAUGAAUUUGAUGUUAUAUACCAUGAUUGUGUUGAAUAUAUAAAGACACCAACAUAUGUCAGUCAUUUCUAGUACCACUAGUGCACGACUCAUCCUACACCGCUCAAAAUUAAUCAUCACAAAUUAGAUGCAAUAGCAACUAAGAUAUUUGAAAAAUGGAAAAAUCAAUGGACGAAUCUUCACCUCAUGUGCUAAUCUUUCCUUGUCCAGCACAAGGCCAUGUAAACUCAAUGCUAAAACUAGCUGAACUUCUUGCAAUUCAAAAUCUCCACAUAACUUUCCUCAACACACAAUACAUCCACAACAGACUCAUUCAAUUCAAUGAUGAUAUUCAAGCUCUUUUAGAAUGUUAUCCUAAGCUUCAAUUCAAGACUAUUCCUGAUUUUCUUGAUGAGGAGAAUCAUCCUGGAUUUGGAGUAAAGAUUGGAGAUGCAAUUGUGUCAUUGAGUUUGUAUAGUAAACCUUUUUUGAGAGAGAUUAUUGUUUCUGAGAAAAUAAGUUGUAUUGUUUUGGAUGGAAUUUUUGGUGACCUUGCUACUGAUUUGGCUCAUGAGUUUGGGAUACAAUUGAUUCAUUUUCGUACUAUUAGUCCUUGUUGCUUUUGGGCUUAUUUAUGUGUUCCUAAGCUCUUGGAGUGUAAUGAAUUACCAAUUAGAGGUAAAUAUCAGAUUCCUCUCUCUAAUUAUUAUUAUUUUUUUUUUUUGCUUUCACCACUAGUUUAAUGUGAUUCGGGGUCAGUUCUGGCAUCAAGUGGUUCCAGCCCCUCCCGAUCGCAGUUGUGGGGGAUCGAAUCGCGGUCCUCCCUACCAAGUUUAACGACAAUCACCACUAAACUAACUAACGGAUCAGUGAUUCCUCUCUCUAAUUAUGCUAAUUGCUAACUUUAGAGUAUGUUUGGAUUAAUGAUAUAUUAAACCUAUGUUUUGUAUUACGGUGGAUUUUUCAAAAUCACAAUGAUAUAUAGUGAUUUUGCAAAAGCUGCACUCUGUAAUUUUGAAAAAUCACGUUAGGUCAUCAUGAUUCUGGUAUAUCUAUCGUGAUACCAAAGAUAUACUAAGUGGAAUGGAAUACGAGAUAAUAUCUAUUUAUAAAUUCCAACUAGAAUAUUCAAUUCAAUUCCAUUUAGUAAUAUUCUCAUGUACCAUUUACCAACCUUGGUUCUGACAUGAAAAAAAAAAAACAGAACAUAAAUUCCUUAUACUUAGCUUGAUAUAUCAGAUUUUUUUUAAAAGAAUUCCAUAACUUUCUCUUUAUUUAAUUAUACAUAUGCACUCACUCACUUACUUUUUUUUUUAUGAUAACUCACUCACUUACUUGAUUACUGUGUUUCAAGGAAAACUACCAUGAGGGAAUAUAGCUGUAGAUUGUUAUUUAAUUGGCCUGUUUAUUUAAUGUUGAAUCCACGUCCUGACUACCAAAAUCGCAUAAUUGCGAUACUUGAAAAUUCAGAGAUGUAUUAUUUCUUUUUUUGUGCAAAUUAGUUAUUCUUUGGACGCAAUUGUAAAGAUUAAUUCUUUGAGUUUUGUGGAAUCCAAAUAGGCAGUAAGCUCUCCCUAAGAGCUAUCUAGCUAUUAUGAUAAAAUCCAAAAAUGUAUUUAAUCAUAUGACUUAAUAGUUAAUAGCUAGAUAGAAAAUUUUACUUUUCUUUGAUUAUUGAAUAUUGUUUCAAGAAUCAUCAUGAGUGCAAUUUUAUUAAGUAUAUACUUGUAGGUAGACCUUUAUUCUGUAUUGUUUUGUAUUGUACUAACACAAAAUGAUGAUCAAUUUUAUUUUGUUUUUCCAUAAAUUGUGUACAACUUAUUUUGAUGCAUACACAUUGCUAUAUUCAUAUUGAAUAUGUAACACUACCUAUUUAAUUAAUUUAUAGGAGAAGAGGACAUGGAUCGUAUCAUAAGAAACAUGCCCGGCAUGGAAAACUUGCUUCGGUGUAGAGAUCUUCCAAGUUUCUGUCGACAAAACAAUGAAGAUCAUAUCCUUUUAGACGAGGUUGUUCUUCGAACCAAACAAUCACUUAAUGCAAACGCGCUUAUACUCAACACAUUUGAGGAUCUAGACUCUCCAAUCCUCUCCCAAAUCCGUCUUCACUUCCCUAAACUCUACACUCUUGGCCCUCUUCACCACCACCUCAAUACCACCAAAAAAACAUCAUCAGCAUCAUCCUUCAAAAGCAAUUUUUUCAAAGUGGAUAAAGAAUGCAUGGUAUGGCUUGAUUCUCAAGAAUUAAAAUCAGUUAUAUAUGUUAGCUUUGGUAGCACCACACCAAUGAAGAAAGAAGAACUCAUUGAGAUUUGGCAUGGUUUAUUGAAUAGUAAAAAACAAUUUUUGUGGGUGAUUAGGCCAAACAUGGUACAAGAAAAAGGACUACUAAAUGAGCUUAAGGAAGGGACAAAUAAGGAAAAAGG
rnacentral:lncRNA from 1 species